CGCGGCCUAUCAGCUUGUUGGUGAGGUAGUGGCUUACCAAGGCGACGACGGGUAGCCGGCCUGAGAGGGUGACCGGCCACACUGGGACUGAGACACGGCCCAGACUCCUACGGGAGGCAGCUGUGGGGAAUAUUGCACAAUGGGCGCAAGCCUGAUGCAGCGACGCCGCGUGAGGGAUGAAGGCCUUCGGGUUGUAAACCUCUUUCGUCGGGGAAGAAGCGAAAGUGACGGUACCUGAAGAAGAAGCACCGGCUAACUACGUGCCAGCAGCCGCGGUAAUACGUAGGGUGCGAGCGUUGUCCGGAAUUAUUGGGCGUAAAGAGCUUGUAGGCGGUUUGUCGCGUCUGCCGUGAAAACCUAGGGCUUAACUCUGGGCGUGCGGUGGGUACGGGCAGGCUAGAGUGUGGUAGGGGAGACUGGAAUUCCUGGUGUAGCGGUGAAAUGCGCAGAUAUCAGGAGGAACACCGAUGGCGAAGGCAGGUCUCUGGGCCAUAACUGACGCUGAGAAGCGAAAGCAUGGGGAGCGAACAGGAUUAGAUACCCUGGUAGUCCAUGCCGUAAACGUUGGGCGCUAGGUGUGGGGCUCAUUCCACGAGUUCUGUGCCGCAGCUAACGCAUUAAGCGCCCCGCCUGGGGAGUACGG
rnacentral:rRNA from 1 species